rnacentral:rRNA from 1 species
GUCGAACGCUGGCGGCGUGCCUAAUACAUGCAAGUCGAACGCAGUGGGGACGGGUGAGUAACACGUACGUAACCUCCCAUCAGAGGGGAUAACACUUGGAAACAGGUGCUAAACCGAUACUGAUGGAUGGACCCGCGGGGCAUUAGCUAGUUGGUGGGGUAACGGCGCACCAAGGCAACGAUGCAUAGCCGACCUGAGAGGUUGAUCAGCCACACUGGAACUGAGACACGGCCCAGACUCCUACGGGAGUCAGCAGUAGGGAAUCUUCGACAAUGGGCGAAAGUCUGACCGAGCAACGCCGCGUGUGUGAAGAAGGUUUUCGGAUCGUAAAACUCUGUUGUUAGAGAAGCGGUAUCUAACCAUAAAGCCACGGCUAACUACGUGCCAGCAGCCGCGGUAAUAC